GGUUGCUUCAGAGGGGGAGCAGUUUUUUCCCACCGGUGCUGCGGCGAAUUGUUCUUAGAAAGGUGUUAUCACAUUCUACAAAAACCCAGCCCUGUGCUGUUGCGCUUGGGACAACCGUUUGCCUUGUUAUCCAACAGUUCCGUGUGUGCUGCUCAUACAUCAGUUUAACAAACUCAUAUACUACCGGGAGACGGGGCCAGCUCACCUGGAUCCAUACCAAAGUUUCAUCUGUGCUCCCUUGACUUAUCGCGUCGUGUCGACAUGAGGAACAUGAAACCAGCUGCGGCUGUAGUUGCUAGUCAAGUUCGCAAGUCGUGGUGCGACAGCAAAACACGACCCGGUAGAUUCCUUCGCCGUUACGGUUGUGAAACCUGUUUAGGUUAGUAUGGCAGUGCCGUGGCGACUGUAGGGCGCUGUUGACCGCGGGAUUUACAAGGCAUUCACUAUCGCGCAAAGGCUUGAGUACUUUGCAUGCUUCACGGCUAAGCUCUUCAGCCAGGAGAGGCAAACGCCACCAUCAGGAUCGACGCACUCGAGAAACAGAAAACAUGCUAUUUAGAUGCGCGGACAGAGAUCCUUCCGUAAUUGUCGUAGAUCAGAAUCUAAGCGACUGUGAGGCCUUCUGGGCAUUCAGUAGUGACUUUCGUUCUGACGAAAACACAGACAGGAGGUGACGCAGAAACUAGUUGAACUGGGGUCAGAUAUAUGCCCACAAGAAAGUUCCGAAAUGAAUUGGAUCUCGUUCUAUGCGUUUUCCAUGUUGAAUGACGCGUCCGUGAUUGCUGCUACGGCGUUGUUUGCCGAUCGGCUCAACAGCGACUUAGUUGUGCAUUACACUGUUUUACUUGGUCUGUCGCCGUUUUGCUUUAUCCGUGUAUAUGUGCAUACAUAGGCAUGCAUUGAGCUGCAGUUGUGACUUAUGGAAAGUUUUACCAGAGUGAUUUUUGUUUCAGUGCAGGUGCGACAGCCGAAUCGGGAUGUCGGCGACAGCAGGUGUGCGGUUCUGUUUCUCAGGCACGCGCAACAUUAUGUGCCACAUGCCAAAGAGGUUCUGGAAAGAGACGUUUUAUUGACAGUUCGUUACCUGAUGACUCCCGGGACCUAUUCUUUUCCGUGAGACACUGUUUCCCUGACAGGAGGCGCCAGGGAACCGCAAGCGGGUUCAUAUAUCUUUAUCUAUCUAGCUACAUUUAUAUAU
rnacentral:lncRNA from 1 species